rnacentral:pre_miRNA from 1 species
UCUCAUCUGGAUCUUGCUGGGGAGGGGCUUCUGAGUUCCUCAGCGCUGGCAGGAGGUGCUCCAGGGACCAGUCCCAUAACAGGCCAAGAAGGACUCGUG